UCCUCUUUGACCAGCGGUAGAGCGAUUGACUGUUAAUCAAUUGGUCCCUGGUUCGAUCCCAGGAAGGGGAG
rnacentral:tRNA from 1 species